rnacentral:rRNA from 1 species
UACGUAGGGGGCAAGCGUUGUCCGGAAUUAUUGGGCGUAAAGCGCGCGCAGGCGGUCAUGUAAGUCUGGUGUUUAAGCCCGGGGCUCAACCCCGGAUUGCACGGGAAACUGGAUGACUUGAGUGCAGAAGAGGAGAGUGGAAUUCCACGUGUAGCGGUGAAAUGCGUAGAGAUGUGGAGGAACACCAGUGGCGAAGGCGACUCUCUGGGCUGUAACUGACGCUGAGGCGCGAAAGCGUGGGGAGCAAACAGG